rnacentral:rRNA from 1 species
CAUGCAAGUCGAGGGGCAGCACAAGGAGCAAUCUGAGGUGGCGACCGGCGCAGGGAGAGUAACACGUAUGCAACCUGCCUGUAAGAGGGGGAUAACCCGUUGAAAGACGGACUAAUACCGCAUAAUACUGAAUAACCGCAUGGUUAAUUAGUUAAACAUUUAUGGCUUACAGAUGGGCAUGCGCAUGAUUAGCUAGUUGGUGAGGUAACGGCUCACCAAGGCAACGAUCAUUAGGGGUUCUGAGAGGAAGGUCCCCCACACUGGUACUGAGACACGGACCAGACUCCUACGGGAGGCAGCAGUGAGGAAUAUUGGUCAAUGGGCGAGAGCCUGAACCAGCCAAGUCGCGUGAAGGAUGAAGGUUUUAUGAAUUGUAAACUUCUUUUGCAGUUUUUAUAAAGUACGGUACGUGUACCGUUUUGUAUGUACUCUGCGAAUAAGGAUCGGCUAACUCCGUGCCAGCAGCCGCGGUAAUACGGAGGAUCCAAGCGUUAUCCGGAUUUAUUGGGUUUAAAGGGUGCGCAGGCGGGUUGAUAAGUCAGCGGUGAAAGUUUGCAGCUUAACUGUAAAAUUGCCGUUGAAACUGUCGAUCUUGAGUGCAAAUGAGGUAAGCGGAAUGUGUUGUGUAGCGGUGAAAUGCUUAGAUAUAACACAGAACACCGAUUGCGAAGGCAGCUUACUGGGAUGCAACUGACGCUCAUGCACGAAAGCGUGAGGAUCAAACAGGAUUAGAUACCCUGGCAGUCCACGCAGUAAACGAUGAAUACUAACUGUUUGCGA